ACGACUAUACUCGAACAGGAUCUGUUCUAUAGUUCGUACACCUUGUUGUCUCUCUCAAGAGUGACAAGUUUCUCAGCCCAGAAGAUGAAGGGAAGCCUCCUGACCUGAGCGUGAAAGCUUCGGUGGCUGUGCCCGGCCUCAGAGCCGGGCGCGCCCCGAUUGAGGAAUGUCCCCAUGGCUUCAUUCCGCCGCGGGGAGGUCAGGUGGCCGUCUGAUGGGUC
rnacentral:snoRNA from 1 species